rnacentral:rRNA from 1 species
CCUACGGGAGGCAGCAGUGGGGAAUAUUGCACAAUGGGGGAAACCCUGAUGCAGCGACGCCGCGUGAGUGAAGAAGUAAUUCGUUAUGUAAAGCUCUAUCAGCAGGGAAGAAAAUGACGGUACCUGAGUAAGAAGCCCCGGCUAACUACGUGCCAGCAGCCGCGGUAAUACGUAGGGGGCAAGCGUUAUCCGGAUUUACUGGGUGGAAAGGGAGCGGAGACGGCAGUGGAAGUCUGGAGGGAAAGGCGGGGGCUCAACCCCCGGACUGCUCUGGAAACUGUACGGCUGGAGUGCAGGAGAGGUAAGUGGAAUUCCUAGUGUAGCGGUGAAAUGCGUAGAUAUUAGGAGGAACACCAGUGGCGAAGGCGGCUUACUGGACUGUAACUGACGUUGAGGCUCGAAAGCGUGGGGAGCAAACAGGAUUAGAUACCCCAGUAGUC